UUACAUGUCAAAGAUGGUUCUCUAAGUGGGAGUUAUGCAAGUGAUCCUUAGACCUGAGAUCACAUGGAACCUUAUGCACAUGAAGCCAUAUUUUGGUUCAUACCUAGGCAUGGCAUUAAUAUAUGUACGGGGUGUUCUAGAUAUGGUAGAGUGUGUAUGAAGGUUGUGAGUAGGUCAACAUAGAAUCGAUCACUCCUAGUAAGAAGAGAUCGUAUCCUAUGUAUUCGCAUUCUUAGAUGAUUCAAAAAAAAUCUUUUCACCAAA
rnacentral:lncRNA from 1 species